rnacentral:sRNA from 2 species
AAACCACGAAUACCUGAUGGAUGGAGGCGGGGGACCCACAGGGUCCGCCGCGAGCGGACCGGGGCCAUGACCGGCCCUUGGGGUGAAGCCACACGACGUGCCGCGGUACGUCACGGCCGGGCGGUCUCGAUAGCCCGAACCCGACGCUGACCUCGCAGGCGUAGACAGAGAGGAAUU